rnacentral:tRNA from 1 species
GCCGGGGUAGCUCAGUGGUUAGAGCGGAGUCUUCAUAAGGCUAAGGUCGUGAGUUCAAAUCUCACCCUCGGCA